rnacentral:rRNA from 1 species
UACAGAGGUCUCAACCGUUGUUCGGAUUCAUUGGGCGUAAAGGGUGCGUAGGCGGUCGCGUAAGUCAGGUGUGAGAUCUCAGGGCUCAACCCUGAAACUGCACUUGAUACUGCGUGGCUCGGGUACUGGAGAGGAGACUGGAAUUUACGGUGUAGCAGUGAAAUGCGUAGAUAUCGUAAGGAAGACCAGUGGCGAAGGCGAGUCUCUGGACAGUUACCGACGCUGAGGCACGAAGGUCAGGGGAGCAAACGGG